rnacentral:rRNA from 1 species
GACGAACGCUGGCGGCGUGCCUAAUACAUGCAAGUCGAACGCUUCUUUCCUCCCGAGUGCUUGCACUCAAUUGGAAAGAGGAGUGGCGGACGGGUGAGGAACACGUGGGUAACCUACCCAUCAGAGGGGGAUAACACUUGGAAACAGGUGCUAAUACCGCAUAACAGUUUAUGCCGCAUGGCAUAAGAGUGAAAGGCGCUUUCGGGUGUCGUUGAUGGAUGGACCCGCGGUGCAUUAGCUAGUUGGUGAGGUAACGGCUCACCAAGGCCACGAUGCAUAGCCGACCUGAGAGGGUGAUCGGCCACACUGGGACUGAGACACGGCCCAGACUCCUACGGGAGGCAGCAGUAGGGAAUCUUCGGCAAUGGACGAAAGUCUGACCGAGCAACGCCGCGUGAGUGAAGAAGGUUUUCGGAUCGUAAACCUCUGUUGUUCGAGAAGAACAAGGACGUUAGUAACUGAACGUCCCCUGACGGUAUCUAACCAGAAAGCAACGGCUAACUACGUG